GAACCAGACAAAUGUAACUACAUAGUUUCAUCCAACAUCUGGACUCUAGUCAUAUUUCCAGCUCAUAUAGGGAUGCCGAGUACUUUCCAAUUUGACAUUUCUGCUAGUUUUGCUGUCAAUGCUCAUAUGUCCAAAAACAAGAAACAUUUUUCCAUUUUGUCUAGCUUCUCCUAUCACUGAAGAGGUUGUAAAAUGAUAUCAAGCAUGAAAAUGGAAACCCUUUUUGUUCAACUUCAUAGAUCACUGAAGAGUGCUUCAAGAAGUAGCAAUCAAGGAGGACUCUCAUUCACUUUUUACAGCAUGGUAGAUGUGACGAGUAAACAUCAAGGAAGCCCGGAGACUGAUUGUUCCAAGCAUAAGGAAAAAUGCAUAGCAUAUGCAAGUGUUGUAUACAAAGAAGAUGGUAGUCUGCAAGACUCCGCUCAUGUUUGAUUUGCAAUAGAAGUAUAUGGAGUAGACAAACAUAAAUACAGCAGUUGAGCCCCCACGGAAAAUAGACCUGCACCAAGUACCAUAUUGAUCAGUU
rnacentral:misc_RNA from 1 species